rnacentral:rRNA from 1 species
AACGAACGCUGGCGGCAUGCCUAACACAUGCAAGUCGAACGAAACCUUCGGGUCUAGUGGCGCACGGGUGCGUAACGCGUGGGAACCUGCCCUUAGGUUCGGAAUAACUCCCCGAAAGGUGUGCUAAUACCGGAUAAUGUCUUCGGACCAAAGAUUUAUCGCCGUUGGAUGGGCCCGCGUUGGAUUAGCUAGUUGGUAGGGUAAAAGCCUACCAAGGCGACGAUCCAUAGCUGGUCUGAGAGGAUGAUCAGGCACACUGGGAGUGAGACACGGACCAGACUCCUACGGGAGGCAGCAGUAGGGAAUAUUGGACGAUGGGCGAAAGCCUGAUCCAGCAAUGCCGCGUGAGUGAUGAAGGCCUUAGGGUUGUAAAGCUCUUUUACCCGGGAUGAUAAUGACAGUAACGGGAGAAUAAGCUCCGGCUAACUCCGUG